rnacentral:lncRNA from 1 species
AUUAUAGCAACAAAAUGGUCAGAUUGCAAGGUCAAGAGUAGGGGAAGCCUCUGCCCUGGAAAAUUCAGGGUAGAGGGUUGUCAAAAGAGAGAGUUGUCAGCCAUGCAAGGCAGCAGGUAGGGACUGGGGAACGCUGGAAGAACCUGGAGCCGCUUGUCCUGGUCCUGAAGCACACCCAGAAGCAGGUUGUGUUCCAAAAUACUAACAGGUGUUUCAAAUGUGCUAAAGACUUGACCUAUAUCGAAGUCUGGGUUUGGAAUGCUUCCUGAUGGCGCACUUUCAAGGCUUGGAACUAAUGGGAUCUGGUGGCAACUCAGAGGUGUGUGUCUGCAAGAGCUUUUCAGUCUCUUCGGUAUGCCCUUUAAGCUAUUUGCCUUCUUAAAAGAAAAAAAAAAUGGCAACCCAGCAAAGUACAGAUCAGCAUGUUUCCUGAAAUUAGGAUUUUGGUGGACAUUUUGA